GAUGAACGCUGGCGGCGUGCCUAAUACAUGCAAGUCGAGCGAACGGACGAGAAGCUUGCUUCUCUGAUGUUAGCGGCGGACGGGUGAGUAACACGUGGAUAACCUACCUAUAAGACUGGGAUAAUUUCGGGAAACCGGAGCUACUACCGGAUAAUAUUUUGAACCGCAUGGUUCAAAAGUGAAAGACGGUCUUGCUGUCACUUAUAGAUGGAUCCGCGCUGCAUUAGCUAGUUGGUAAGGUAACGGCUUACCAAGGCAACGAUGCAUAGCCGACCUGAGAGGGUGAUCGGCCACACUGGAACUGAGACACGGUCCAGACUCCUACGGGAGGCAGCAGUAGGGAAUCUUCCGCAAUGGGCGAAAGCCUGACGGAGCAACGCCGCGUGAGUGAUGAAGGUCUUCGGAUCGUAAAACUCUGUUAUUAGGGAAGAACAUAUGUGUAAGUAACUGUGCACAUCUUGACGGUACCUAAUCAGAAAGCCACGGCUAACUACGUG
rnacentral:rRNA from 1 species